rnacentral:tRNA from 1 species
GCCUGGGUGGUGGAAUUGGUAGACACCACGGAUUUAAAAUCCGUUGCGCCCUCACUGGCGCGUGCCGGUUCGAUUCCGGCUCCGGGCACCA